GCGAAAGUUGAUCAGUUACAAGUGUGGUAUACAAAACUAACGUUUGAUGGAUCCAGUUCAACUAUAUUCCAACAGAAAUCACCAUUAAAGGUUACUAAUGGUGAAAUACGUCUAAGUUUAGAUAUUGAUGAGAUCUGGACAUUAACGACUAUUACUACUGGACAAAAGGGACAACACAAUCACCCACCGCCACCAGCACCGUUCCCGUUACCUUAUACAGAUGACUUCGAAGUAUACCCUAUUUAUUCUGAAGCGUAUAAUUUGGUUGCUCAAGCUGGUUAUUAUGAGAUUACUGAUAUUGGAGCUCCACAAAAUAAAGUUAUCCGCCAGAUGUCGCUUGAGAUGCCAGUUUUUUGGGGUAAAACAGAUAGUCUCGGAGUUACACUGGCUCUGAUCGGGAAUGCUAACUGGACUGAUAUAAAUAUAUCUGUUGAGGCACGUCCAGCUCCAGUAAAUGGAACUAAUGGUGUUUUCGUUGCCUGUAGAUUAUACAAUGUGGGUUUACGAAACAGCAUAAAUGCUGGAUUAUACUUCUUCAUUUUCCCAGCAAAUA